UUUUUUUUACUGGCUCACAGUGUUUAACACCUUAAACAUUGUCGAUUUUAAUAAUAUAGUAUUGAUAUGUUGUUUUUUUGUUAUUGGUUAGUCUUAAUCAAUAAAUAUAAACCAAUUGAUUCAUAAAAAUGACACAACAACAAAAUAUAACACAUGUCUCUUAUUGUAUUGUAAGGUCACAUUUCUAUUAUACGUUCAAUAAAUAGAACAUAACUAAAUAAAUAGUACAUUGCAGAAGAAGAUGAGGCGGAAGAGGAAAUAUGAUUAGCAGAGAAGCUAGUUGAAUUGCCAGAGUUGCUGAGAAAAAGAAACAGCUACAUAAGAUGGAAGAGAAAAGAGACGAUGGAAAAAAAUAAAUAGAUCACGAGUGGCAGUGGUGGUGGAAGAUAAAACUGUGGAGACGAUGACAACGAUGGUGGCGAAGAAUAAAACAACUGAUAACAACCGUGGAGAUGGUGACGAAAAUAGUGGAAGCAGCGAUAGUGACGAAAAUGGUGGAAGCGGCAAUGGUGACGAAGAAUGAAAUAAUCAGCAAUAGUGAUGGUGGUGAUGUGAUAAAUAUACACGAUUGGGGCGUACGAAAGUGAAAUGAUUGGAAAUUGAGCAUAUAAUUAUAAAUAGAAAUAGAAGAAGAAAAUGUGUGG
rnacentral:lncRNA from 1 species